AACGGAAACGAUGGGAGCUUGCUCCCAGGCGUCGAGUGGCGGACGGGUGAGUAAUACUUAGGAAUCUACCCAGUAGCGGGGGACAACUCGAGGAAACUCGAGCUAAUACCGCAUACGCCCUACGGGGGAAAGCAGGGGAUCUUCGGACCUUGCACUAUUGGAUGAGCCUAAGUCGGAUUAGCUUGUUGGUGAGGUAAAGGCUCACCAAGGCGACGAUCCGUAGCUGGUCUGAGAGGACGAUCAGCCACACUGGGACUGAGACACGGCCCAGACUCCUACGGGAGGCAGCAGUGGGGAAUAUUGGACAAUGGGGGCAACCCUGAUCCAGCAAUGCCGCGUGUGUGAAGAAGGCCUGCGGGUUGUAAAGCACUUUCAGUAGAGAAGAAAAGCCUACGGUUAAUACCCGUGAGUCUUGACGUUACCUACAGAAGAAGCUCCGGCUAACUCCGUGCCAGCAGCCGCGGUAAUACGGAGGGAGCGAGCGUUAAUCGGAAUUACUGGGCGUAAAGCGCGCGUAGGCGGCUUUGUAAGUCGGAUGUGAAAGCCCUGGGCUCAACCUG
rnacentral:rRNA from 1 species